GGGGGCAGCGGCGACAGCCCCAGAGAGUGCCCCCGGAGCUCUGCUCAGCCACGGGACUUCGUGUCGGUCAGCGACACGGCUUACACGGACGGGGAUCCAACAGUCACGUUACAGAGGGCCAAAGAUUCGCAUGUACGUAAGCCCCCAAACCCAGAACUCUAUAAGGCAAAUUCAGCAAUAGACGCAUAGAGCUGUAGGUGCUGCCGUCAAUAAUAGCAGCACAGAGCUGUAGGUGAUGAAGUCACAGCCUCCGUUUGUGAGUCUGACUUGUUUGGCACUGCUGCUUUGACAAAAAGAAAUACAGUUUCUGAUUGCAUGGCUGGGGCUGCUAGGCUCAUACAGGCUUUAUCAGUAUUCUUAGUGCUUAAAGGUGGAAAUUGCAAUGAUGUUUAAACAGAGAACAAUAAAUGUAAAAACUGUUAUUCUGGUUUACGUCCGUACUCCCACAUACUUCCUUUCAAGAUUAAAGUCUGAAAGCACACAGUGGAGUAUAUACUUAAAAAUGUAAAACGUACGAUAGUUCCAUUAGGAUGUAUAAUAGGAAAAUGGGCCAUUUAGAUUUCCAAGAAAAUAAAUAUCUCUGCAUACAGAGACAAGUUUUCAUUUUUCUGAGGUACUCCUAAGUAUGGUGUCUUCAGAAGUAGAAAUGAUCAUCUUUUGAUUAUCUGACAUUCUCUGCUUACAGCUUUUAAUCUGUAAUAGCAACAGCACUUCGUCUCCUGUUUAAGAACCUGCAGUCUUUCUAAAGCACAGUUCUGCUCAGUGCAAUUAUUUAUUCUUCAUUUAUUCAUUUAUUUGUUUUGAGGUUAUGGAAAUAUGUAGCCAUUUCAAACACUUAGAGGGUAAAGGAGUAUUUUAAUGAAAAAUGCAUGACAGAUUUGGAAAAUGGUAUUGGGAAACGACUUGUUGGAAUGGAAGGAAAUGGCAGGAAGCUGUACUUUACCAAAUGCGUUGUGGGAAAGAACCCAGAGGCAUGUUUCCUAAAAGAGCUACUACUGCAACCGUGUGAUGAUAGAUAAAUGUGCUUACCCAUUUCCGUCCUUGCUACUGAUCAGCCAUGUAAUUCAGAUAUGGUGACCAAAUCCUUUCUGGUCUGAAAAUGAAAAAUAGCAUUUCGAUCUCCUUAAAGUUUUCAUGUGCAUCACAAGAAUAACAUCCCCAUUUUGGGAAAACCCACAGAUGAAGCUGUGGCCCAAAAAAGGACCCAAACUGCAGAUGCAGUGAAUGUCAUAACUCAGGAUUGCAGUGCAUUGGCAGGACUGUUUGGGGAAGCUUGCAUAACAUCUGCUUGCAACAUGCCUGAUUCAAACCAGCACUCCUCCCUCCUCUCAUGAACACUGAUGACUUUUUUAAAAGUAAAAUAAACUUUGUCAUUAUGCAAGCAAAAUUAUUUUCUGGGUGAUUAUCCAGAUCUGCUUGAAGCAACAGCCCACAACACGAAAGCAAUUUACAUUUACUAAAUAUUUUGAUCAUAGUUGUGUCCUUCUUUUGUUUUCUUUGUCCUUUUAUUCCUGUGUUCUGAUCUCAUUCCUGUGAGCCAUGCUCUUUAUGACGCCAGAGGGACUACUCUUGUGGAGGGAUUGAUGUCGUUAGAAAUCCCUGCUCACUGCUUCGAACACUGUAAUGCUUUAUUGUCAUUAUGUUAGCAUAGUAGAGAACAUGUAAAGACAUGCUUCAUUUUGGAUGUUUCCUCCCUACAUGGUUUUUGGCAGAUGGUUUUAUUUUCAGGUUUCUCUCUUGUCCUGUUGUUCUUACAAGGCACGGCCAGUAACUGACAUCUCAUGGCUUUCUGGCUUCUACGUGUGCUCCAUCAUCAUUCUUAGGAGGGACACUAUAAAUGAAUAAGCCAUAAAUAACAAGAUUUGCUUGUCAGUUUUGUUUGGAUUUUUUGUUUCUUAUACAGACGACAUAUUAACUUAUUAGAAAAGAAGAUGAAUGUAACCAAAACUUAUACUGAGAAGAGGCGAGGACAUCUGCUGUGGCAGGUACACCACUGACAAAUUGGAAGACCAUGAAAAAGUGCUUGAGAAGAAGAAUCCCUUUUGCUCAACGAGACUUGGGGAAUUAAGUCUUACUGGGACUCGGUGACAUAAAAAGACAUUAAAAGAUGAGCCAGGAUAAAGAAGAAUGGAAAUCCUUGUUUAUUCCAUAAGUAAGAUUUAAUGUCAUGGGAAAUACUUGGAGAUGGAAGAUUCUGUUGCCACCUGUUCCUGUUUUAUAAGGAAAUCAGGAACACAUGAUAACAAAAGAAAAAGUGCUUCAUCAUUUAUUAGAACUUUUGUAGAGACUUUCAUCCCAGUAGGGACCAGAGGGCUUUUUUCAGUGAAAUCCUAUUUGCUUCAAUCAUAGGCAAUUUAUCAGAGAUUACUUUGUAAUAUCUCUGAAUAGCUGUAACAUUCCAAAGAAUGGAAAUUAAAUCAUCUUUUCAGGACUCUACUUAUAAGCUCUUGUGUGCUUCUUUCUGUCAUGCUGUCAACUCAUCCUGGUUUCAGCUGAAUCUCAAAAUAAAUAGAUUCAGAAGAGAUUAUGCUUUUGUACGUGUGCUCUAUGUCCUUUCUUGAAAGAAUUUUAGGAAAUUGAGAUGGAAUGGCUUCUCUCUUGAGAACUGUCCACUGUGCAAAUAGGCCCUUGGGAAACAUCAAACGAGGGCAUGCUAGCCCGGAUUGGUCCCACCUUACACCUGAACACACAAAGUAAGUCCCUCCACAUUGCACGUGCUUUGCAGUGAUAUUAAAGUGACCCAUUCUUAAUAAUAACGUUUUAGAAAUUAACUUUGAA
ensembl:lncRNA